rnacentral:rRNA from 1 species
UUCGCAAUGCCCGAAAGGGUGACGAAGCGACGCCGCGUGGGUGGGGAGGGCCUUCGGGUUGUAAAGCCCUGUCAGGAGUUAAGAAAUAUAAGUGCGCUAAUAUCGCAUUUAUUUGACGAAGGCUCCAAAGGAAGCCACGGCUAACUCUGUGCCAGCAGCCGCGGUAAUACAGAGGUGGCAAGCGUUGUUCGGAAUUAUUGGGCGUAAAGAGCACGUAGGUGGGUUUGUAAGUCAGAUGUGAAAGCCCUCUGUUCAACGGAAGAAUUGCAUCUGAAACUACAAGUCUUGAGUGUAGGAGGGGAGAAUGGAACUUCUGGUGGAGCGGUGAAAUGCGUAGAUAUCAGAAGGAACGCCGGCGGCGAAAGCGAUUCUCUGGCCUAUUACUGACACUCAGUGUGCGAAAGCUAGGGGAGCAAACGGGAUUAGAUACCCCGGUAGUCCUAGCUGUAAACGAUGGGCACUAAGUAGAGGGGUUUU